AAAGCCAUCACUGAAAUAUGCUCACCCUUAAGUUUGUUUCUGAUUUGCAAGCAUUUUCACAUUUGAUAAGCACGUGUUGUAAAUUUACAUCCACGCGGGAAGUAUUCUUACGCUAGGGAGCUGAGAAUUGUAAAGCAUGUUUAUACUCUUACCCUUGCGUGGUGUUGCCCCUUAAUGCACAGGCUGAUAAAAUGACUAGCUACAGGGGACCCAGAGGGAUGUGCCGUUCCACCUGGUCCCUGCGCAUCUGCCCCCGAGGAGCCACUAGUCCCUUCCUCCUGGAACAGUUUCCCAUCAGCAGCCCUGCAGUAAAAAUUCAGGGCUUCAGAGACAAACAUUUCAUGAGAACAGACUGUGAUGAGGAAAAACAAGCCAUUCCCUCUCUAUCUAUCAGGACCCAGAGCACACUGCUGUAACGACUCCGGAACCGAUAAGAGAGCUGUGUGUGGAAGUAUGAGGUCAGGUCGCCUUCUGACCCUCUGUGACGGUCUAUUUCAGGCAGUUAUGGAUAGAUAACAUUACAGACACUGGUAAUUAAAACAACACUAAUUUUGUCUCUGUGGCCACGCUUUGUUGUUAGAAGCCAUCUAUCAUGGCCUUCACGCAUCACACAAUGAGAAGACAUUUGUCUACGUACAUUGUGCUUGGUCAACGGUUUUACGGAACUCCCCGUGUACCUGGACACCCAGGCACUUUUAAAGACGUACUGCCUUCAUUUCUACUCUGUUCCUCUGAUUAAUAAAACAUUUUGCAUGCUUAGUCAAAA